CGAACUUCUCCGUAUGCAAUGGCUAUUGUAUGUUCGGUUGACGACGUCGCCAUGUUUUUAACUUUGAAUCUCGAUCGCUGUGUAUAAAUUGCACGACCGCAACCGAUCCGACUGAUUGUCGACAACGCGAAUGGAAUAUAGUUAAAUGAAACAUAGAAAGUAAUAGAAAGAAAAAGACAAAAAGUAUAAAGAAAAGAGCCAGGAUUAUAGGGAUAGUGGAGAAAGAAUCAAUGUAAACCUUUGGCGAAUUCAAAGGCGAGUUAACAGUGUCUACACAUACUGGAUCGACCAUUCACAAAGUGAAAGCCUUGGCACAUAAAAGUCGUUUCGAUCAAUUCAACUUAGGCUAUUGCUACGGUGCUCAGAAUGACAAUACGUGUGGAUUUUCUCGCGAACUUGUGCACACAUUUACACGGUAUUCGGCAUGUAUACGUAUAGGUAUUCUUGGAGUUUUCGCAAACUCAAUUAUUCCUCCACGGCCGAUAAAAUCUUCAAUUACUCCAGACAACGAACUAUUUUGGUACUUUGAUCUCGAGCAAAAGAAAGGAAAAAAGGAAACAAGAUUUUUAAACAAUUCUUCUCUAAGUGAAUUCUUGAUUGAAAGUAAUGGUGGCAAAAUUUAAAUUUAAAUAUUAAAUAUUUUAAAAUAUAUGUAUAUAUGUGUAUAUAUAAUUAUUAAAAAUGUGCAGAUAUCAUGUUGAAAAAAGUAAUUUUGACUUUAUACAAUUCUUUCGACUUCGAAGAAAGAACAAGAAAAAAAAAUUCAAAAAAACUAUCAUGUAAAUAAAACUCAAUUUAACAAAACAUACUACAAUUGAACGUAAUGCACAGAUAUAUAAUGAAAUUUCUAUACCAAGUUUAUUUUCGUAAAAAAAAGAAAGAGAGAGAAAAUAUAUAAAAUAUAUAUAAAAUAGAAAAAAAAUAAUAUUCGUACGAAAAUAUAAUGAGCUUACCCGAAUUCCGCCGAAUCGAAAUCUUCUACUUCGUCGUACCAUGAUUGAAUAUGAAAGCGAAUCCUUGCGAUGGAUGACAGGUUUCCCAUGUUAUCUAUUUCGAAAAUGUGCACAUUCUGCCAUACUCCAAAUCCUGCAAAAAAUAUGAUAUAUUUAUGAUAUAAUAUUUAUGAUAUCUAGAAUGAUUAUAAUAUCUUGCAAAUUAAUUAAAAAUAUUUGCAGUGAUAAUAACAAUAAUGCAUUGAUAAUAACAAUAAUGUAGCUAAUAUAAACAUUUAUGAAGUUAAACUUAUUAUAUACGUUUAAAGAUCAUCACAUUUAUUCUACAUGUGUAAAGAUCAUUGGUUCUAUAUCUAUUAAUGAAGACAAAUAAUUAUAGAAGAUUUUAAUACAAUUUUAAUUGAUUCUAUGAUUUCACGUAAUUUUUGUUUUAAAUUUAUCCAAUUUAGAAAUCAAUUCCACUCAAUAAACAUAGAUUUAAUUUAGAAUCCAAUUUAACGAAACAAGGAAAUCAACUUCGAAAUUAUAGCCAAUGAAAUUAAUGAACUAACUUAGGAAUUAUUUAGAGAAUUAAUCUCCACCAUGACUUUGUGAUUUUCAAAUGAUUUUGAGAAUCAAAUUAGGAAUUGUAUCUUAGAAUCUAGAGAACCAAUCUACACAAAUAGAAAAAUUUGUCAGAUGUGAUUCACAUGUGACUGAUCUCCCGUUUAUUUCAAUCUCAUACUCCAGAUCGUUUUAAUAAAAGGUUUUUUUUUGUACGAAGAUGAUUUGACCAACUUAUCCGCUAGAAAAAACUUGAAUGAGACAAAAUCGAAAAUAUUGAAAUGUUAAUGAAAGGAUAAAAAAUUAGAGAUCACCCAUCGCAAUAGACAAUAAACCAAAUGAAAUUUCUCUCUUUUACAAGAGCCACUGUCGUUUUUGCGGCUUACGAUUGCAAAUUGAAACGAAGCCAAAACGAGUUAGAAUGGGAUGGAAAAGGAAGAAGAUAGGGUGGAAGAGAGUGGUAUUCGUAAACAAGAAGGAGAGAAAUUGCGAUAAAAAGAGGAGAACACACAGAUACAUUGAUCCUGUUACAGAAGGAACAAUUUCGUGUUCGAAUGUAUACGCGAUGGAUAUUGAAAAAUGAUAGGGACGACUAAGGGAAAUGAAAAAUGAUAUAUAUCCGUGGGAGUUACUUGCCAACAUCUCUGCACUGAUCUUUCUCGAGAAGGUUGCACUGUACCACCCAUCGUCUCGCGAUAAGAGCAAGCAUUAUGGCUUAAUCUAAAUUAAAUCUUACCACUUCCAUCAUAAAUUUUGCUGGACGUUGUGGACCUGGAUUUCCUCGUAUUUCUUUCCCACUUGCCACAGUAUUGCGAUAAGUAUUGUGCCAAUGGAGUAUAGUUUCAAU